rnacentral:sRNA from 1 species
UUCACCAUCAAAGGUUUGAGAAGCAAGAAGAAGCUUGGUUA